GGAAGGAUGACAGAGUGGUCGAAUGUGACGGUCUCGAAAACCGUUGUGUGCUUUCAGUGCACCGUGGGUUCGAAUCCCACUCCUUCCG
rnacentral:tRNA from 1 species